UCACUCCCUCAUAGCCUCAGGAGUGUGCCCUAGCUGGCCUGUGGGGCUCCAGGUGGCAGGCUUGGCCGCCCUCCCCGUGGAAAUCCCCACUCCAAGCAGAUCACGAGGAGCCUCCGUUUCCUGCUAUUGUGGCAGUCUGAAGAGAACCGGAGCAGAGCUGGAGGUGACUGUGAGGCCUGGGCUCCAGGCAUCCCCUGAGAGCAGAUGGGGCCUCCCAGACCAGGAAUGCCCCACCAUCACUACACCACACAGUUGACACGUCAAAGGCAUUAUGAGGAACAAGAUGAAACCAAAGGGGCCCAGAGUAUGAUGCCACACCAACAAAAGAAAGAACCUAGAUGUCAUCUAGUCCAAUACCAACUGUUCAGAUAAGUCUUGGGAUAUGUGCCUCACUGAAGGCCACACAGCUAUUAGGGGCAGUCAGAUCUCCUGGCAUCUGGGCCAGAAAAUAUCCUGAGC
rnacentral:lncRNA from 1 species